CACAGAGGGUGCGAGCGUUAAUCGGAAUUACUGGGCGUAAAGCGUGCGUAGACGGUUAUUUAAGUCGGGUGUGAAAGCCCCGGGCUCAACCUGGGAAUUGCAUUCGAGACUGAAUAGCUAGGGUACGGUAGAGGGAAGUGGAAUUUCCGGUGUAGCGGUGAAAUGCGUAGAUAUCGGAAGGAACAUCAGUGGCGAAAGCGACUUCCUGGACCAGUACCGACGUUCAGGCACGAAAGCGUGGGGAGCAAACAGG
rnacentral:rRNA from 1 species